CAGCCGCGCGGGAAUACGAAGGGUGCAAGCGUUACUCGGAAUUACUGGGCGUAAAGCGUGCGUAGGUGGUGGUUUAAGUCCGUUGUGAAAGCCCUGGGCUCAACCUGGGAAUUGCGAUGGAUACUGGGCGACUAGAGUGCGGUAGAGGAUAGUGGAAUUUCCGGUGUAGCAGUGAAAUGCGUAGAGAUCGGAAGGAACAUCUGUGGCGAAGGCGACUAUCUGGGCCAACACUGACACUGAGACACGAAAGCGUGGGGAGCAAACAGGAUUAGAUACCCCUGUAGUCCCUGUCUCUUAUACA
rnacentral:rRNA from 1 species